GAGGGUAGAGCUCAGUGGUAGAGCACGUACUUAGCACGCACGGGGUCCUGGUUUCAAUCCCUGGUACCUCCA
rfam:Camelus ferus unplaced genomic scaffold scaffold760, whole genome shotgun sequence.